GCGGUGGACCUGGUCAGAAGCUGAGCGGGCGUCGGCGUCCGGUGCCUGGAGGGGUGCUGCACCUGUGCUUGUGCAGAUCCAGCAGACUGCAGCCCCCGGGCGUUUGCAUGUGCUGUUUGCACUCCUUGGCAGCCUGUCCUGAGGGAUUCCUUUGGUUCUCACCGUCUGCUCAUUAGGGGAACAUCAUCUUCUCAUUAGGGAUUACCCCACUACCCGUUGUGAACUUGCAAGCAAACCCUUCCCUCCCCAUAUGCUCCCUGCCUCCUCCUUCAUCUUUUAUUUUUUUCUCUAAAGAACUUUUCACUAUCUAGCACACUAUAUAUUUUAAGUAUUUAUUUGGUCUACUGUCUGCCUUCACCACUACAAUGUCAAUUCCAUAAGGAAAAGCAUUUGUAUCGAUGUUGAUCACUGCUGCAUCACCAACACCUAAAAAAAUAAAACAGAGAGACCUUGCACAUGA